AGGAUGAACGCUGGCGGCGUGCUUAACACAUGCAAGUCGAACGAUGAUCCCAGCUUGCUGGGGGAUUAGUGGCGAACGGGUGAGUAACACGUGAGUAACCUGCCCUUAACUCUGGGAUAAGCCUGGGAAACUGGGUCUAAUACCGGAUAUGACUCCUCAUCGCAUGGUGGGGGGUGGAAAGCUUUAUUGUGGUUUUGGAUGGACUCGCGGCCUAUCAGCUUGUUGGUGAGGUAAUGGCUCACCAAGGCGACGACGGGUAGCCGGCCUGAGAGGGUGACCGGCCACACUGGGACUGAGACACGGCCCAGACUCCUACGGGAGCAGCAGUGGGAAUAUUGCACAAUGGGCGCAAGCCUGAUGCAGCGACGCCGCGUGAGGGAUGGACGGCCUUCGGUUGUAAACCUCUUUACGAGUAGGAAGAAGCGAAAGUGACGGUACCUGACAGAAGAAGCGCGGCUAACUACGUGCUAGCCGAGCCGC
rnacentral:rRNA from 1 species